CAAAUGAGAAUACCGGCUGAACUUAAGGCAUAUCACUAAGCCGAGGAAAAGAAACUAACAAGGAUACCCUAAGUAACGGCGAGUGAACCGGGUAAUGCUCAAUCUUAAAAUCUGUGUCUCUAAUGAGGCAUCGAAUUGUAGUUUUUGAUAAUCAUUCCCUCUUCUUUUAAUAUAAUUAAAGUCUCUUGGAAUAGAGUGUCAUAGAAGGUGAGAACCCUGUGAAUAGUUAUAUUAAAAGGAGGAUAUUGAGUUUGAUUAUCAUAGAGUCGGGUUGUUUGGGAAUGCAGCCUAAAAAGGGUGGUAAAUCUCAUCUAAAGCUAAAUAUUUGGUAAGAGACCGAUAGAAAACAAGUACCGUGAGGGAAAGAUGAAAAGAACUUUGAAAAGAGAGUUAAAAGUACUUGAAAUUGUUAACUGGGAA
rnacentral:rRNA from 1 species